rnacentral:rRNA from 1 species
UAAUACGUAGGGGGCAAGCGUUGUCCGGAUUUAUUGGGCGUAAAGAGCUCGUAGGUGGUUCGGUAAGUCGGAUGUGAAAUCUCCAGGCUCAACCUGGAGGGGUCAUUCGAUACUGCCGUGACUAGAGUUCGGUAGGGGAGUGUGGAAUUCCUGGUGGAGCGGUGAAAUGCGCAGAUAUCAGGAGGAACACCCGUAGCGAAGGCGGCACUCUGGGCCGAUACUGACACUGAGGAGCGAAAGCGUGGGGAGCGAACAGGAUUAGAUACCCUGGUAGUCCACGCCGUAAACGUUGGGCACUAGGUGUGGGACUCUAUCGACGGGUUCCGUGCCGUAGCUAACGCAUUAAGUGCCCCGCCUGGGGAGUACGGCCGCAAGGCUA